rnacentral:lncRNA from 8 species
GUAUUUGUACUUAGUUAACCUGCUCAGAUGACAUGAGUACGUCUUAGAAAUCCAGAAAUGCAAUAUCCAGUAUUACAGUGGAUCUAAUAGCACUGGAUUACAUUGUUUUUCUUAAUACAAUCUGUUGAAUACUAACAUGCUUUUGACCCAGUGAGGGUAUUGUCCUUUCUCAGCCACACAACGAGCAUUGUAGUCCAUUCUCCUGGGAUAGGAGACAUUUUGUUUUCGUGCUCUUUUCACACCAGCACUCCCUUUUCCCACAGAAACCCUCUCCUUUCUUCCGUUCCAAGGCAGCCCUUUUCAAACCGGGAAGCUCCAGGUCAGUUUCCCUUUCCAAGUUUUACGGCCUGCCAUGUUGUCUAUUCUGCUCAGCUAUUUAAAAAAUGUUGAAUAUCAACAAUGGCUUUCACUGGUGUAUUGUCAACUUUUGUAUGAAGCAAUCUUGGCUGAAUGAGAUGGGUCCCAGAGCAGGGAGGGCUUGGCUGCGGCAUGCACCGCAACACCACUGGCGCCUGCCUGGCUCUCUCUCUCUCUCUCUCUCUCUCUCUGCUGCAGGCAGGAUCAGGGAGGCAGGAGCAGCCGUCCCUCUAGUCCCUGUCUCAGCCCAGCCGUUGGGGUCUGCAUGGGGCUGGGAAAGCCACCCCCUCGUCAGUCCACUCCGCGAACCCAUCCUCAUCCUCCCCCUGCCUCUGGCCCUGUCGUCUGGGAGCCCCCGAAGGUGUGACACCUCACACAGGGAUCGGAGAGCAGGAGCCCCGGGGGUCAGUCAGAGCUGGAUGCAAAGGCCUUCCUUCAUUAUUUGA